rnacentral:rRNA from 1 species
CACGUAGGGCGCGAGCGUUGUCCGGAAUUAUUGGGCGUAAAGAGCUCGUAGGCGGCCUGUUGCGUCCGCUGUGAAAGCCCGGGGCUUAACCCCGGGUCGGCAGUGGAUACGGGCAGGCUAGAGGUAGGCAGGGGAGAAUGGAAUUCCCGGUGUAGCGGUGAAAUGCGCAGAUAUCGGGAGGAACACCGGUGGCGAAGGCAAUCCCCUGGACCUGUACUGACGCUCAUGCACGAAAGCGUGGGGAGCAAACAGG